rnacentral:lncRNA from 1 species
CGCGCCUGUUGCCUGAGAUACCCCCGCCCCCGCCCUCACUGCCCGGAGUCCUUCUGCGUCCAAGAUGGCGUCCGAGCUUUAUUUUUAGAGCACCAGGAACAAAGCGCGUUGCGUAGCAUUGAGUUUAGCAGAAAGCAAGAGUUGUGUGGCUGGCUUUAAUGUCUGCUGUGUUUGGUUGGCUGUUCACACAAUACCCAGACUCCCAGAGCUGCCACAGGUGUCCUAAGUUCACACAGCCACCCUUCAUCCUGCCUCAAGUGGAGCUUUGUCCCGUGUCUGAGCAUGGUGUCUGCUGUGUGGAAAUAAGAACUGUCUCACAAAACUGAGCCUCAAAAGAGAGUUGAAGUUGCCUGAGUCGUCCAUUCCUGAAGAGAGGAGGCAGAGCCAACCUCUUGUUCCCGCAGAACUGAUUUGAUAUCGAUUUGAAUAAAGGCAUCUGCUGCCAUUUUAUUAAGCGCCCUAUUUAAUCUCCAUGUCCCUGCUUCCACUUUCUCUUAAUAUCAACUGUCCUUGUCCCCUUUCAAAGUCAGAGUGACUCGGAAUCGCUUCAGGACUCUAUUCAGUGUGGCCUCUCAGAUGUGAGUUAGAACCUGAACCUACACCAGAAUUUCCUCCUUUUCUUUCUGCAGUUAUUUUUUUCUCCACAAUUUUCUUUUUGAGUAUUUUAAAUACUUAAAAAUGUACGUCAAUCAAAAGAAACUACCGAAAAAAACCCCACAAAACUACCAAGUGUCGCAAAUGUUUUGUGUACAAUACCCUUGCAGAAUGUGAGCAAAAUGUCUUUAGAGUGCGGCUUUCAGCUUUCAAACUGAGACAUGCUCAAAUGAGAGGGGGAAAAAUCCCCACGGCCCAGAGAUGCGGACCAACCCAUCUCCGGAGCGGAAGGAAGGGUGGGGCACAGUGGCGCGCCGGCCUUAGAGACGGGAUGUGAAUGAGCACUUCGAUGCACACCUCACUUUAGCUACGGGAAAAUUACCAGGCAG